rnacentral:rRNA from 1 species
UACAGAGGUGGCAAGCGUUGUUCGGAAUUACUGGGCGUAAAGGGCGCGUAGGCGGCCUUGUAAGUCCUGUGUGAAAUCCCCCGGCUCAACUGGGGAACUGCACAGGAGACUGCUUGGCUUGAGUUCGGGAGAGGGAAGCGGAAUUCCGGGUGUAGCGGUGAAAUGCGUAGAUAUCGGGAGGAACACCAGUGGCGAAGGCGACUACCUGGCCUGUUCUUGACGCUGAGGCGCGAAAGCUAGGGGAGCAAACGGG